rnacentral:rRNA from 1 species
UACGUAGGCAGCAAGCGUUGUUCGGAGUUACUGGGCGUAAAGGGUGCGUAGGCGGCUUUUUAAGUUUGGUGUGAAAUCUCCCGGCUCAACUGGGAGGGUGCGCCGAAUACUGAGAGGCUAGAGUGUGGGAGAGGAAAGUGGAAUUCCUGGUGUAGCGGUGAAAUGCGUAGAUAUCAGGAGGAACACCGGUGGUGUAAACGGCUUUCUGGACCAUAACUGACGCUGAGGCGCGAAAGCUAGGGGAGCAAACAGG